AGGUACCACUCGUACACAGCGGCGAUUGCGCGUCGCCUAUCCACCUGACGACUGCGCGCGACGUUGUGUCACCU
rnacentral:sRNA from 3 species